UGGGGAAUAUUGCACAAUGGGCGCAAGCCUGAUGCAGCGACGCCGCGUGGGGGAUGACGGCCUUCGGGUUGUAAACCUCUUUCAGCAGGGACGAAGCGAAAGUGACGGUACCUGCAGAAGAAGCACCGGCCAACUACGUGCCAGCAGCCGCGGUAAUACGUAGGGUGCGAGCGUUGUCCGGAAUUACUGGGCGUAAAGAGCUCGUAGGUGGUUUGUCGCGUUGUUCGUGAAAAACCGGGGGCUUAACCCUCGGCGUGCGGGCGAUACGGGCGACUAGAGUACUGCAGGGGAGACUGGAAUUCCUGGUGUAGCGGUGGAAUGCGCAGAUAUCAGGAGGAACACCGGUGGCGAAGGCGGGUCUCUGGGCAGUAACUGACGCUGAGGAGCGAAAGCGUGGGGAGCGAACAGGAUUAGAUACCCUGGUAGUCCACGCCGUAAACGGUGGGUACUAGGUGUGGGUUUCCUUCCUUGGGAUCCGUGCCGUAGCUAACGCAUUAAGUACCCCGCCUGGGGAGUACGGCCGCAAGGCU
rnacentral:rRNA from 1 species